UAAUAAAUGUUCCUAUGAUUACUAUGUAUCUUUUAGGUGCUUAUUCUGGAAAUAGCAAAAGUACCUUUCUCCAUAAAGGAAUCAUUACACAGAAGAAAACAUGGAAUAGCAGAGCACAGUUCAGUCUCUGAGCAUCACUUAAUCAGAGAAGAUUCAACAGCAACCUUCUGAGGUGGCUCAGAAUCAAACCUUCCACAGUGUUUUCAGGCAGACUCUACCCACUGAAUGCAUACAAAACAACAC
rnacentral:lncRNA from 1 species